CAGGGUGUUACUGUACAGAGUCAAUGUGGAGGCUAUAUACAGGGUGUUACGGUACAGAGUCAAUGUGGAGGUUAUAUACAGGGGGUACUGGUACAGAGUCAAUGUGGAGGUUAUAUACAGGGUAUUACGGUACAGAGUCAAUGUGGAGGCUAUAUACAGGGGGUACUGGUACAGAGUCAAUGUGGAGGCUAUAUACAGGGGGUACUGGUACAGAGUCAAUGUGGAGGUUAUAUACAGGGUAUUACGGUACAGAGUCAAUGUGGAGGCUAUAUACAG
ensembl:lncRNA